ACGCUCGACACCUACGGGAGACAGCAGUAGGGAAUCUUCCACAAUGGGCGCAAGCCUGAUGGAGCAACACCGCGUGAGUGAAGAAGGGUUUCGGCUCGUAAAGCUCUGUUGUUGGAGAAGAACGUGCGUGAGAGUAACUGUUCACGCAGUGACGGUAUCCAACCAGAAAGUCACGGCUAACUACGUGCCGGCAGCCGCGGUAAUCUGAGCGGGCUGGCAAGGC
rnacentral:rRNA from 1 species